UUCAAUUUAUUAAAAAUAUAAUUUUCUGAAGAGGACAGAAAAUCACUGAUGUAAGCCUUAGGUCUGUUUUUGAAGUUAAAUUAAUGUUAGGUUUCCAUUUGAGAAAACCACACAUGACCUCAUGCACACCAACCAACCGACCAGAAGGUGGAUCCGAAAGGGGAACAUUUUCCUUUCCUCACCAUUUUUUAAAAAAACCUUUCCUCUCUGCCAAAGUGAAAUGCGUGUGCUUUUAUUAAUCCACAGGUGGCGCCAUUAAUUCACUUCUUAAUAAACUCCAAAUGUUCGGGGCUGUGUCCAGAUAUAAAAACACAGAAGACAACAUUCCACCAUCAAGGGUGUCAUGGAAAAAAAAAAUAAAUAAAAAAAACUGAGUGGAUGGUUUUGAGUUGUCUUGGCAGAGAUGAAUCACUGAGAUCUGACCUUUAGACUUUGGUGAUAAAAAGCCUGUUUGUCUUUCUCUAUCUUUUAACUGCAAACAAAUAAACAGGAAAAACCAACAUGUCUACGCGAAGAAUCAACGCACCCACAGCCGCCUUUACAUGCAAAGCAAAACCAGCAGUCACAUUUCAUCCCGCGUCCCCGUUCUCUUCGGCUCCUCUGCCAUUCGGUAUAAAAACACAACAGUAAGUUUAAAAAGGGAAAUGUUUAUUAGUGUCAUAACACAAUGAUUACAUCUGACACAUUUGUUAUUUAGAAAAAAAAAAAACAUACAUAAAGCUUCAAUUUGAGAUUCUUUCAGUAAAACGAUUGUUUAUUCUGGGAAAAAAAAAAAAAAGAUUAUUUGCUGAUCUCAGCGCAACAUUCAGACGUCAGAUCCAUUUUGCACCAAUUUUUCUCCCCCUCAGAUUGAUGUCAUCGAAGAAGCACAAGCAUGUGUGAAUGUUUAUGUAUAGCACAUAUAUUAAGCCUAAUGUGAGGAUCUCAAAAAAAAGAAAGAAAAGUCAGUAUCUGUGUGUAGCUGCACUCGGGUCAUAUCAGAAUAA